CCCCCAAAAUGGAAAUAGAACAAUAAAUAAACAGCGAAAAAAUAAAAUUACGAAAUUUAUUUAAAACCUUCUUGAACUCCGACAUUAACAGGGAGCACAGGUUUCGCUGUUUCUUCUCCGAAAAUUGUUUUGAGUCAUGUGCCUCUCCGAUCGGACCCCUAGGCGGCUGCCUAGUUUGCCUAUGCCUCCUGCUUCUCUAUCUCUUCUAUACAAAUUACGAUCUAAUUCUAAUCAACAAUGGUUAUCGCGUGACAGGUUGUUGUUGUUUUUUUUUACGUUGUUUUAUCAAUAUUAUCACGUGACCGUUGGUUUUGGUGAAUGAGGUCCAUUAGUGACCUGACCAUUGGAAGAAUCACAAUCGUUUUGCUGUUACUUCAUGUUGCUUCACUUUAACUGUUGACUUGUAUAUAGUUUUAAUAUUUCUGGCAAUGUCUGUAUUAUUUGCUGAUGUAUUAACUGUACAAAAAAAAAUGUUCAUGUAUAAAUAUUUUGUUGUCAAGCUGCAUUCAAUAUUAAACCUUAUUUAUGGACAGAAU